GAUGAACGCUGGCGGCGUGCCUAAUACAUGCAAGUCGAGCGGAGCGGGGACGGGUGAGUAACACGUGGAUAACCUCCUAUAAGACUGGGUUAACUUCGGGAAACCGGAGCAAUCCCCGAUACUUACAGAUGGAUCCUCGCUGCAUUAGCUAGUGGGGAAGGUAACGGCUUACCAAGGCGACGAUGCAUAGCCGACCUGAGAGGAUGACCGGCCACACUGGAACUGAGACACGGUCCAGACUCCUACGGGAGGCAGCAGUAGGGAAUCUUCCGCAAUGGGCGAAAGCCUGAUGGAGCCAUGCCGCGUGUGUGAUGAAGGUCUUCGGAUUGUAAAGCUCUGUUAUUAGGGAAGCGGUACCUGCUCAGAAAGCAACGGCUAACUACGUGCCAGCAGCCGCGGUAAUUC
rnacentral:rRNA from 1 species